AGUGAACGCUGGCGGUAGGCCUAACACAUGCAGGUCGAACGGCAGCACAGUAAGAGCUUGCUCUUACGGGUGGCGAGUGGCGGACGGGUGAGGAAUACAUCGGAAUCUACUUUUUCGUGGGGGAUAACGUAGGGAAACUUACGCUAAUACCGCAUACGACCUACGGGUGAAAGCAGGGGAUCUUCGGACCUUGCGCGAUUGAAUGAGCCGAUGUCGGAUUAGCUAGUUGGCGGGGUAAAGGCCCACCAAGGCGACGAUCCGUAGCUGGUCUGAGAGGAUAAUCAGCCACACUGGAACUGAGACACGGUCCAGACUCCUACGGGAGGCAGCAGUGGGGAAUAUUGGACAAUGGGCGCAAGCCUGAUCCAGCCAUACCGCGUGGGUGAAGAAGGCCUUCGGGUUGUAAAGCCCUUUUGUUGGGAAAGAAAAGCAGCAGGUUAAUACCCCGCUGUUCUGACGGUACCCAAAGAAUAAGCACCGGCUAACUUCGUG
rnacentral:rRNA from 1 species